rnacentral:rRNA from 1 species
CUACGGGUGGCUGCAGUGAGGAAUUUUGCGCAAUGGGGGAAACCCUGACGCAGCAACGCCGCGUGAGUGAAGAAGGAUUUCGGUUCGUAAAGCUCUGUCAAGUGGAAAGAAAUUACUAUACGUUAAUAGCGGAUAGUAUUGACGGUACCACUGAAGGAAGCACCGGCUAACUCCGUGCCAGCAGCCGCGGUAAUACGGAGGGUGCAAGCGUUAUUCGGAAUCAUUGGGCGUAAAGGGCGCGUAGGCGGCGAUAUAAGUCGGAUGUGAAAGCCCCGGGCUUAACCCGGGAAGUGCAUUCGAAACUAUAUCGCUUGAGUAUGGGAGAGGGAAGUGGAAUUUCUGGUGUAGAGGUGAAAUUCGUAGAUAUCAGAAGGAACACCCGUGGCGAAGGCGACUUCCUGGACCAAUACUGACGCUGAUGCGCGAAGGCGUGGGGAGCGAACAGGAUUAGAUACCCGGGUAGUC